GCUGAAUGAAAAAGGUCAUAGGAACAACAUUUAUUUUGCUGGUUAUAAUGUACAUAUAAAUUUUAUAAGUCAUUUUAACUUUUGUCCACACAACAGCUAAUCAUGUUAUUUUAUAAUAUUUAUUAUAGAUUUCAACAUUGUUGUUACUUAAAAAAUAAAGGCAAAAAGAAAGUAACACAGGUAACCAGAAACAAAGAAGCUGAGCUGGC
rnacentral:misc_RNA from 1 species